GAUUACACGCUCCACGCGAAGCUUGUGUCACGUUCUUCAUGCUUACGAUUUGGCGUGAGGAGCUGAACUGUUCUACUGCUGCAUUCUCCUGCACACGAACCACGCUCGGUAAACUGAAAUAAGGCUUCCAGGUCACCAUGUCGGCCACUGCGGUUGGUGUCACCACCUACGAGAUGUUCAAACACUCUUCGAUCAAGGACCGACUAUUGACGGCAAUCGGAUGCUUGGUGGCCGUGGCCACGGGCUGUUGUAUGCCUACCUUGGUCACCCUGAUGGGAUACCUUGUCGGCGAGUUCAUUAUCUUCCAGUCUGUGAUCCACGAACUCUGCGACAACAGCACGAAGGCGAACAUUCCAGUCAUCUAUAUGAUGCCGAAGAGGGAUCAAGUCAUAUCCAUAGCAACGUUCCAACAAGACGUCCGUACCAGAGCGAUUGAAAUGGCUCUGGUGGGCACUGUGAUGCUUGUCUGCAAUGUCGUCAUUGUGGGCAGUCUGGGCCGCUCGGCCACCAAGCAGGCCUUCCGAAUCCGACACAUCUUCAUGCGAGCCAUUCUGCACCAGGACGUCGCCUGGUUCGAUGAGCAUAGCGAUAAGAACUUCGCCCCAAAGAUCCUCGAGGAUCUGGGCAAAAUUCAAGAUGGCUUGGGCGAGAACAUCGGCAUGUGCUGCUUUUUCUUGUCGACCACUGUGACGUCUCUCCUCUGCGCUCUCUAUCAUGGCUGGCUGUUUACGCUGUCGCUACUCCUUCUGACGCCACUUCUCCAGAUGUGCAUUGUUUUCGUCGGAAGAAAGCAGCUUCAUUUAGAAGGCCGUGAAGCUCUGGCCUACAGCAAUGCCUCAAGCUGUGCUCAAGAGGCGUUGGCGUUUAUUAAGACCGUGGUUGCCUAUGGAGGACAGAACAAAGAAAUAAAACGGUACGAAGGACAUCUGCAGCCGGUGAAGGAGACCGCAAUCCAGCGAGGCCUGAUGACCGGGUUCGGAGUCUCUCUCGUGUGGGUCUUUAUGUACGCUAAUUACUCUCUCGGUUUUUGGCUGGGAACAUCGCUCAUCUUGCAAGACGCAAACAACCCUCCUGAGAGUAAAGUCUACGACAUCAGCGCACUGCUUAUUGUGUUCUUCAAUGUACUGAUGGCGACCACGUGCUUUAUCCAAGCAACUCCGUACUUCCAGGCUUUCGCUAUGGCCAAGAGGGCAGCGUCAAGCGUCUACCCCAUUAUAGACAGGAAGCCAACGAUAGAUAGCGCGUCGAGUGAAGGCCUGAGGCCACCGGAACUUGAAGGGUGGAUUCACUUUAAGUCUGUCACCUUCUGCUACCCAUCCGCACCUGAGAGUAAAGUACUGCAGAGCUUUUCACUCGGCAUCAAUCCAGGCGAGACGAUUGCGCUGGUAGGUGUCAACGGCAGCGGUAGGAGCACCAUUCUUAAAUUGCUUACUCGAUUCUACGACAUCACAGAAGGACAGAUAUUGAUAGACCAUCGUGAUAUCCGGUCCUACAAUAUUGGCUGGUUGCGUGGCCAGAUGGGCAUCGUCUGUCAGAAUCCGGUGCUCUUUAACACGACUGUCGCUGAGAACAUCCGCUACGGGCUCGCCACUGCCACUCAAGCUGACAUCCAGGAAGCUGCUAUUGCUGCCCAUGCGCACAAGUUCAUCUUGAAGCUGCCUCAGAAAUACGACACCCCGAUCGGUGAGGGAGGCGUUCGCCUGACCAGCAGUGAAGUAAGAAGAAUCGCCAUAGCCCGCGCUCUCGUCCGAAACCCCAAGGUCCUUCUCCUCGAUGACCCCACUUCUGCUCAAGAUGCAGAGACUGAAGCUGUUGUCAAAGCAGUAUUAGACAAGGUUCGUGAGGGUCGCACCACAGUAAUCGCUUCUUCCCGCCUGUCUACCAUUCGAAACGCAGACCUGAUAGUCGUUAUGAAGGCAGGGAGAAUCAUCGAGACAGGAACGCACAAGGCGCUUGUUAAGAGUGGCUCCGGGCCAUACAUGGAACUGCUUAAGUCUGAGAAUAUGCAAGACGAGGACAGCGAUCUGUCAUCAGGGGCAAUGGCGCAGCUCGGGUUUUCGCCCUCUCAGAUGCCUGCACCAACUUCUAUAGGGAUGAUGGAGGACAUGGACGAGGGAGUAGAAGUUCCCGCAGACGCAGAGGAGACGACUGAAGAUCACACGAAACGCCUGCUGCAGCUGGCAGAACCCGAAAGGUCGUUUCUGGUUGCUGCUUGUGUAUGCGCCACCCUCAUGGGACUACCAAUCCCCAUCUACGCCGUCUGCCUCGGGGACAUGAUGCAGGUGUUGAGCUUGGGUAACGAAGAUUCGAUUCGCUCCUCGAUGACCUUGCCCUGCAUUAUCCUCCUGGUGGUGGGCAUUUUAACGAGCCUCUGCUCCUGGUUACAGAUACACCUUUUUUCGAUCGUAGGGGAAAAUCUCACAUUGCGCCUUCGCCAUCAAACAUUUUCCGCGAUCAUACGACAGGAAGUGGGUUUUUUUGAUAAGCACGUACACGACGCUACUGAUCUGUACCUUCGAUUAGCAGCUGAGGUCCCCAGCAUCCACAGGGCAUCCUGUUCACGGUUGUCUGCAUUGUGCCAAGCGUUCACAACCUUGCUUGCUACUGUGGUGCUGUCUCUGUAUUGGGACUGGCACCUGUGUUUCAUCGUGCUCGUCUUCGUGCCCCUCAUCCUCUUCUCCACGUACCUUGAGGUACGGAUGAUGCACGGAAAGCUCAUGUCCUCUCGCAAGGCUCUUGAAGUGUCAGAUCAGAUCGCCAUCGAGGCAAUCCAAAACGCUCGCACCAUUGCUUCCCUGCACCAGGAGGAGGUCUUCUGCGCUAAAUAUGUCACAUCCCUGGCGAUACCACAAAGCAUCUCCAAGCGCAAGUCCUACUAUCGUGGAUUCAGCUUUGGCGUCGCCCAGUGCAUACGGUCCCUGGCGUUCGCAUGUGCCCUCGUCUACGGCAGCAUCCUCAUGGAACAAUGCGACCUGCAGUUUGGAAGCCUCUUUAAGGUAAUUGAAGCAUCGAUCCUCGGGACUUCCAUAAUCGGACAGGCAGCGGCAUACACCCCGGGCUACAAGAAGGCAAAGGUAACGGCUACCAAGAUAUUCAAGUUGAUGGACACAGUCCCGAAAAUCGACUUCAUGGACUCGUCAGGGACUACUUUGAACGAGGUGUACGGCUACUUGACCUUCAAUGAAGUUAGCUUCCACUACGCCAAUCAGCAGAACGCCAAGGCCCUAGACCAUGUGACCUUUUCGGUAGAACCUGGGCAGAUGGUUGCCAUAGUGGGCCCAUCAUAUUCUGGCAAGACGACAUCCAUCGACCUCGUUGAACGCUUCUACGAUGUCACCGAGGGCGACAUUCUCCUGGACCAGAUUCGAACGAGGUUACUGAACAUCAGCUGGAUGCGGAAGCAGCUGGGUUAUGUGUCCGACCCACCAUUCCUGUACGGUUACAGCAUAGCCGAAAAUAUAGCGUACGGAGACAACGAGCGCGACGUACCCCUUCCAGAAAUUAUAGCUGCGGCACAAGUGGCUAACGUGCAUGACUUCAUCACGACCCUCAAACAGGGCUACGACACACGCAUCACCUACGAUAGCGACAUCGUUAGCCGUGCAGAGCUGAAGCGGAUCGCCCUGGCCAGAGCCCUCGUGCGGGACCCAAAGAUCCUGCUAAUUGACGACGCUGUGGCCGGCCUCGACACUGUACAUGAACUGGUAAAGACUCCUUUGCAACCCUAUAAUUGCGGUUCGUAUAACCAAAUUCACUUGGCAAAGGCAGUGCUAUAGUCCCGUUUUACAAUAUUAAUGAAAGCUCGGUGCCGAGGGAACUGAGGAGAUCACACAGAAGGUUUCAUUGACGCAAGUGAGGCGCCGGUUGAGGGCCCGGGAAAGAGACCGUCUGGAAAGGAACUGAGCUGUGGCCGCCUGAAGGUUGAUUACCAUGAUCCGCUGGAGAGUCAAUUCCUGCGUCGUUCAUUUCACAGCUUUUUUUGUCUAGGCAACUAAGGCAGCGAUCAAACAAGCCAGUCGCGGUCGGACCUGCGUAGUGUCCACCAACCGGCUUUACUCCGUCACAAGUG